UACGGGGGGCAAGGCGUUGUUCGGAAUUACUGGCGUAAAGGGCUCGUAGGCGGCCAACUAAGUCGGACGUGAAAUCCCCAGGCUCAACCUGGGAACUGCGUCCGAUACUGGAUGGCUUGAAUCCGGGAGAGGAUGCAGAAUUCCAGGUGUAGCGGUGAAAUGCGUAGAUAUACUGGAGGAAUACCGGUGGCGAAGGCGGCAUCCUGGACCGACAUUGACGCUGAACG
rnacentral:rRNA from 1 species